rnacentral:rRNA from 1 species
UACGUAGGGGGCAAGCGUUAUCCGGAAUCAUUGGGCGUAAAGCGCGUGUAGGCGGUUCCGUAAGUCCGCUCUGAAAGCCCAGGGCUCAACCCUGGGAGGCGGGUGGAUACUACGGAACUGGAGUACGGAAGAGGAGAUUGGAAUUCCUGGUGUAGCGGUGAAAUGCGCAGAUAUCAGGAGGAACACCAACAGCGAAGGCAGAUCUCUGGGACGUUACUGACGCUGAGACGCGAAAGCGUGGGGAGCAAAC